rnacentral:rRNA from 1 species
GUCCACACCGUAAACGUUGGGCGCUAGGUGUGGGAUCCAUUCCACGGGUUCCGUGCCGCAGCUAACGCAUUAAGCGCCCCGCCUGGGGAGUACGGCCGCAAGGCUAAAACUCAAAGGAAUUGACGGGGGCCCGCACAAGCGGCGGAGCAUGCGGAUUAAUUCGAUGCAACGCGAAGAACCUUACCUGGGUUUGACAUACGCCGGAAAGCUCUAGAGAUAGAGCCCCUUUUAGUCGGUGUACAGGUGGUGCAUGGCUGUCGU